rnacentral:rRNA from 1 species
AGGAAAAGAAACUAACAAGGAUUCCCCUAGUAACGGCGAGUGAAGCGGGAAGAGCUCAAAUUUGAAAUCUGGUAGCCUUCGGUUGCCCGAGUUGUAAUCUAGAGAAGUGUUUUCCGUGCCGGCCCAUGUACAAGUCCCUUGGAACAGGGCGUCAUAGAGGGUGAGAAUCCCGUCCUUGACAUGGACCCCCGGUGCUUUGUGAUACACUUUCAACGAGUCGAGUUGUUUGGGAAUGCAGCUCAAAAUGGGUGGUGAAUUCCAUCUAAAGCUAAAUAUUGGCGAGAGACCGAUAGCGAACAAGUACCGUGAGGGAAAGAUGAAAAGCACUUUGGAAAGAGAGUUAAACAGUACGUGAAAUUGUUGAAAGGGAAACGAUUGAAGUCAGUCAUGCUCUUGGGACUUACCUCCCUUGAGUGGGGUCAACAUCAGUUUUGAUCGAUGGAUAAAGGCACGGGGAAGGUAGCACUCUCGGGUGAACUUAUAGCCUCGCGUCAUAUACAUUGAUUGGGACUGAGGAACGCAGCAUGCCUUAUGGCCGGGAUUCGUCCACG